UUCUAAAACAUUUGUGGUAUUUGUUGAACGUAAUUUUGCAGAAAAUGCUCUAAAUUUAUUUCUUUACUUUACUAACUUCGACUAAAAUAACUAUGACUUAAAAUUAAAUAUGGAAUCUUCACUAAUAAAUUUUAUUGCGCUGUAUGACUGUAUGCAAAACUUGUUUUUUGCUCGUUAAAUAUGUAGCGAUUAUACCAAAAGAUAAAUAAAUUGAGAUUUCAGAAUUGUGUCGAAAUAUUAGCAUCAGGUACUAGGAAACAAACUAAUCAAUGAAGAAAACUUGUUAUUGUAUUUUUAUCGUCCUUUCCUUCACCUUUGUUUGGAUUUGAACUGCAUAGAAGCACUUGAGGAAUGAGUGUAUGGAAAUCCCACAAUAUUGCAAUAUUAUAUCUGCAUCAAUAUUAUGAAAGUUUCAAUAAAUUCUAUAUCAAAACACUUAAGAAAUGAUAAAAAUACCAGCAAAGUAAAUAUUGAAUUUACGCCACGCCUUUACAUAGGUAGUAUAUAAGGAUGAACUUUCCAUUUUCUUAAAUAUAAUUUUAUAGAGCGAUAAAUUAAAACUCAGCGAAAAAAUGAUCAAGUUUCCAACUGUACUGGUAUUAGUAGUAAUACUCGCUCUUGUCAUGAGCACCAUAAAUGCACUGAUUGUGCAAUGCAGUACUACUGAUGAUUGUAUCCAGCAAUGUAAAAACUCUGGUUACAAUGGAAUCGAUAAUUCUGACUGUGAUUUGAAUUUUGAUUUAGGAUUAUAUUCAUGUCCUUGUGCAUAGAAUAAGCAGCCUAUAAAAUAGUUACCUACUGGCAAAUAACAUUUUUUGCAAAAUAUCAUAUUUCAUUAUGUAUACUUUGGGAGCGAUAGAAUUUGCAAUAUAUUUCUUAUGAACA